CAUAUCGAACAACCCACGCUUUUUAAGCAAGACUUUUCGUCAAUCAUCAUGUUAUGAAAACGAUAUGAACAAAAUUUAGAAAUAUCGAUUUGAGGGAGCGAGAUGUCACUCAUUAGGAAUAUCCUCAGAAUGCCAAGAAUCAAGGACGCGCAGACGGACAGAGGAUGUAACCAUUUCAUAACCGACUAUAUAUAUUUUGAUUAAUCUUAAGACCUACGAUUAAGUGAACAUAACUUUUAUUAUACCGUUGCGAUAUCAUCUUGUAUCAGAUUGUCUAAGUUAUUUAACAAAGUAUUCUUAUGUAAAAAGUUAAUUUUACAUAUGUGCUAUAUUACCUCGUGGCGUCAAGAAGUUUUGCUUUCAGUAUUGCAUUCUUAUCCGGUUUGGGUAAGGUCGAAACACUUACCGCCCUCCAAGGUGGUCUUUUAGUGUCCCCAUCUUUGUCCCCACUUUGAUUGCUUCCAAAAUCUUUCAUACGUUUUUGGCUUUUAAAAAUCCUAAUAGAAAAAACUUUAUUAUUAAACAAAAAAAAAAAACGAUUUAAACGACCUGUUUGGCGAAGCUAGAUUUCUUGUGAGUUUAGAAUCCGAAAAAGUUUUAUUAUCUUCAACACUCUGAGUCUCACUCGUCUCAGAUGACGAACCACUAUUAUUUAUAGGAGAGUUAUCUCUACUCAUAAUUUCACAAUUAUGAACUUCCGCUUAAUUAAGAAGUACUUCUGACGUUAUUUUUUUCUUGUGUGUAUAUACUAGCAAAUCAAUUUUAAAAUAUAUAAAUAUUCUUCACUCUUUCGACAGUGUCACCAAUCAUUGGAGGGUUAGUAAUUGUUAUUCAAAGCAACCACAAAUGUAAAGUUGUUCUAUCAUAUUCCGUUGCACAAACGACUGACUAUGUAAAAGUUUCAAAUGCAGCUACUCAAACCCUACUUCCAAGGAUUCCUGGAGAUAUCUUUUUAAACACCUAUUUGGCAAAUUACGAAAAUACAAAAUAUUUAAAGAACAUGAACGAUAUUAAAAAAAAUUAGUUAGUAAAGAUUGUGUGGAAAGAAAUAAGAAGUUGCCUGUUGACGCUGAUGGCUCUUUUGAUUCAGGCCUGAAGGAAAGCGUUUCUAAUACUGAAACCAAUAUGGAGGAAUUACGAAAAACCAACUUCUUGCCUAAACUUAAACAACCAACUUUUUUAUCAUGGAAUUUUGGAUAUGGGGAUUUGACUGAUGAGAUCAAUUCGAGAAAAUGUGUACCGUAUAAUAUUCAGGCAAAUCAUUCACAGCGGAGUUUUACUAGUGUUUAUCAUGAAAUUAAUAGAUUGAUAAACGUGAUUGAGGAUAAUAUAUCUGUUAAACAAUAUUACAAUAAAAGCACAGUAAAAUCGGACCAUUUUAAACAUCAACAGUUAGUUAUGCCCUCUGAAGAAUGGCUACCACUCAUUAAUAAAGAAGAGAACCAUUUGGAAGAAAUGAUGAAGGAAAUUAAGAGGAAAACAAUCAAAUGCAAAUAUUUUAAUAAACACGAUUUUGUUAAUUAGUAAUAUGUUACUAGAAUUUUCUAACUAAGCACAUAAACAUGGAAAUUAAUUAAUAAAUUACUUCGACAUUUCAAAAAUCCUUAUUAUUUUCUCCACAGAAAUUAAAUAUUAAAAAUUUGACCUCAUUAUAUUUAAUCUGGCU